ACGCUCGACACCUAGGAGGCAGCAGUGGGGAAUAUUGCACAAUGGGGGAAACCCUGAUGCAGCGACGCCGCGUGAGCGAAGAAGUAUUUCGGUAUGUAAAGCUCUAUCAGCAGGGAAGAAACUGACGGUACCUGACUAAGAAGCACCGGCUAAAUACGUGCCUGCAGCCGCGGUAAUCUGAGCGGGCUGGCAAGGC
rnacentral:rRNA from 1 species